rnacentral:lncRNA from 1 species
GGGGCGGCUUCCGGGGGAUGCCUGGUGACAGCUGGUGCCCCGCUGUCACUGUACCCCGGGAAAGGCGGGAGUCCCAGGGAGUCAUGGGUGCCCGGCUGUCGGGCCCUUGGGCGGCAGCAGGAGGUGGCGCCUGGCCCUCUGCAAGCCUCCGUCAGUCACACAGCCAGAAACCUGUGGACACCAGGCAGGACCAGCUGUCCCCUCCUUCAGAGGCGAGUUCUGGAGGUGAGGCAGGCGUCUCUGAGGUGGAGGGCACCGGGCGCAGGGCUCUUGCGGGAGGCGGGGACACUGGCCGGCCUCCCUCCGCCUCGUCCCAAGGGCUGGGCCGCCCUCCUGGUUCCAGCCUGGGCCUGCGGCUCGCCUGCCCUGGCCAUCACUGCCGAGUGGGCUCCAGGCCGCGGCAGCUGUGGAGCCCUCCCCGUGCCCUCCUGCCUGCCGUGGGGACAGAGAGGGACCCAGAGUCCCGACGAUGUCACCGGAGACCCUCGAGGAGCCAGGCCUGAAAUCUUUCCCCAGAGGUUUCUGUUCCGUGAAUUCUGAGUCCUGUGAGUCCGUGCAUUCUCCACACUGGCCUCAGAUAAAGAACCAUGGCGUCUGCAGGCUGCCCCAGGACGGUGCCCUGGAGCCUGAAGCAGGGAUGGGAGUUCAGAUGCCGGAACCCUGAGACUGGCACGAGGUGGAGUGUGAGGCGCUGCAGGCUGCUCCCUGUGGCCUCUCGGGCCUGAAGAGGGCCUCCUCUUCCUGUGCCUAUGUCCUGAUCGCCUCUUCCUUUUUAGGGGUAAGGGCUGAACCCAGGGCCUUCUGCAUGCCGGGCAAGCCCUGCACCACUGAGCUGCGCCCCAGUCCGUACUUUUUACUUUGAGACAGGGCUGGGUAGGGUGCCCAGGCUGGCCUCAAACUUGUGGUCCUCCCACCACAUUCCUCCUGGGUAGCCAAGAUGACAGCCGUGUGCCACCAUGCCUGGUCCCUAAUCUCUCAUAAGGAAGAGCUCACAUUGGGUUUGGGUGGCCCCAAAGACCCAACUGUGCCUUACCUUACUCUCUCAUGCCAGCUCCAGCUGCUCCGGGAGUGGCUGGGCUGUGGGGCCAGGCCAAGGGCAGCCGCUUCCCCGAGACACCAGAGUCUGGCUGAGGUGGGCCUUGCCUCCCCAUCACCCCCUGCCCGCUCAGCGCCUCUGGUGUCCUCUGCAAGGGUGAGGCCUGGGGUGCAGACAGCACGGCAGCUUUGGGAGUCCCACAGCUUGGCAGAAGGCAAGGCUUCCAGCUGGGGCGGCACCGGAGGGCCCUGGCCAGCGCUGCCAGGUGACCUGUCUGCUGCCCCGGGGCUGCCCUGGGAACUGCUCACCCGGGACCGGGACAGUGGCCAAGGCUGCGAUGGGCCAGGACACAGGCAGACCGAGCUGCCCCUGGUCUGCUCAGGCUCACAGGGGGAAGAGGAC